rnacentral:tRNA from 1 species
GGUGGUGUAGUGGUAGCACAAAGGACUUUGAAUCCUUUAACCCAGGUUCGAAUCCUGG